UGCAGUCGAACGUGAAAGCACUUCGGUGUGAGUAGAGUGGCGGACGGGUGAGUAACGCGUGGGAAUCUGCCCAGUAGUGGGGGACAACUACCGGAAACGGUAGCUAAUACCGCAUACGCCCUAUGGGGGAAAGGCUUCGGCCGCUAUUGGAUGAGCCCGCGUCAGAUUAGCUAGUUGGUAGGGUAAAGGCCUACCAAGGCAACGAUCUGUAGCUGGUCUGAGAGGACGAACAGCCACACUGGGACUGAGACACGGCCCAGACUCCUACGGGAGGCAGCAGUGGGGAAUAUUGGACAAUGGGCGAAAGCCUGAUCCAGCAAUGCCGCGUGUGUGAAGAAGGCCUGCGGGUUGUAAAGCACUUUCAGUUGGGAAGAUGAUGACGUUACCAACAGAAGAAGCACCGGCUAAAUCCGUGCCAGCAGCCGCGGUAAUACGGAUGGUGCGAGCGUUAAUCGGAAUUACUGGGCGUAAAGCGCGCGUAGGCGGCUAAGUCAGUCAGAAGUGAAAGCCCCGGGCUCAACCUGGGAAUUGCUUUUGAUACUGCUUGGCUAGAGUUUGGUAGAGGAUAGUGGAAUUCCAGGUGUAGCGGUGAAAUGCGUAGAUAUCUGGAGGAACAUCAGUGGCGAAGGCGACUGUCUGGACCAAAACUGACGCUGAGGUGCGAAAGCGUGGGUAGCAAACAGGAUUAGAUACCCUGGUAGUCCACGCCGUAAACGAUGUCAACUAGCCGUCGGGUCUAUUUACAGACUUGGUGGCGCAGCU
rnacentral:rRNA from 1 species